UCCACAGAUCACUAAGUAAAUAACUGACGUGCAUCAUGAUCACUACCAACUGUGCUACUUGCUUCAAAGUCUGUUGGCGAUUGAUUUCUGAGCAUCAGUUAACAAGUCCACAUGCAAACAGCAAGACUAGUGGUACUUGUUAGGAUGCUCUCCCGUGUUGCUGGGCAGCGGCAGGGAGCCUCAGCAGCCAGUUAACCACCUGAUCACGAGGUGGAGAAUCUCAGGUCUCUAUUUCCAAUAUUUUAACUGAACAGAAGUGGGGCCAACUUACAGUAUGUGAUG